rnacentral:rRNA from 1 species
AUUAAGUGUACCGCCUGGGGAGUACGGUCGCAAGAUUAAAACUCAAAGGAAUAGACGGGGACCCGCACAAGCGGUGGAGCAUGUGGUUUAAUUCGACGAUACGCGAAGAACCUUACCUGGCCUUGACAUUGAUAGAAUCUUUCAGAGAUGAGAGAGUGCUAGUUUACUAGAGCUUGAAAACAGGUGCUGCACGGCUGUCGUCAGCUCGUGUCGUGAGAUGUUGGGUUAAGUCCCGCAACGAGCGCAACCCUCGUGAUUAGUUACCAGCACUUCGGGUGGGGACUCUAAUCAGACUGCCUUCGCAAGGAGGAGGAAGGUGAGGACGACGUCAAGUCAUCAUGGCCCUUACGGCCAGGGCUACACACGUGCUACAAUGGGGCAUACAAAGAGCAGCGAUACGGUGACGUGGAGCAAAUCUCAUAAAAUGCCUCCCAGUUCGGAUUGUUCUCUGCAACUCGAGAACAUGAAGUUGGAAUCGCUAGUAAUCGUAGAUCAGCAAUGCUACGGUGAAUACGUUCCCGGGUCUUGUACUCACCGCCCGUCACACCAUGGGAGUUGAUUUCAUUCGAAGCGGGGAUGCUAAGAUAGCUACCUUCCACAGUGGAAUUAGCGACUAGGGUGAAGUCGUAACAAGGUAACA